GUGCUCCCUUUCAAAUCAACAAUACAUUAUACAUAUACACAGUCCCUUGCAUAUACGUUACUCCCUGCGUCCCAUAAUAUAAGACGUUUUUGGAGUUCAAAUUAAACUGCAAAAACGUCUUACAUUAUGGGACAGAGGUAGUAGUACACAGCUUUUCAGUCCAAAUUCAAUUCAAUUUCAUCAUACACUGAUCAGCAGAACAAAAGGGGGCAGGCAGGACUUUCUUAGGAAAUUAAAUGUGUCCCAGCUAGCUUGCUAUUUGUUCACGGGAAGUCCUGGGUGGCAGAGUCCGGCCGAGCAGGCGAGCACCACCGAGAGAGGUCGGAGCAGACCGCCAGAGCCGGCGCGGGGGGCUGGCUGGAGCAGGCGAGGAGCACCACGUCCCUGGCGACUAGGCAGAGGGCCGGGGGCGGCCGGGGAGCGCCGAAGCAGAGGGGCCGGUGAUAGUCCUUGCAGAGGGCGUUCACCGGCGGCGGGCGGCGGCGCACUGGCAGGACCAUAGUAUGAGGCACGAGCUGGAGUUGGUCGCUGGAGGUGGUGGAGAUUGGCUACGAGGAGGCGCGGGGCUGGAUGAGCAACCAGCCCGGCGCGCCAUAGAUGGGCAGCUCAGGACGUGGCGGCGGAUAAGGAGGAGUCAAGGAGCUGGAGUUCGGUUCGUGGGCUCCUUUACUGCACAAACGGGCUAG
rnacentral:rRNA from 1 species